UACGUAGGGGGCUAGCGUUGCUCGGAAUUACUGGGCGUAAAGCGCACGUAGGCGGCUUUCUAAGUCGGGGGUGAAAUCCUGGAGCUCAACUCCAGAACUGCCUUCGAUACUGGAGAGCUCGAGUCCGGGAGAGGUGAGUGGAACUGCGAGUGUAGAGGUGAAAUUCGUAGAUAUUCGCAAGAACACCAGUGGCGAAGGCGGCCAACUGGUCCGGCACUGACGCUGAGGUGCGAAAGCGUGGGGAGCAAACAGG
rnacentral:rRNA from 1 species